rnacentral:rRNA from 1 species
UACGAGGGGGGCAAGCGUUGUUCGGAAUUAUUGGGCGUAAAGGGCGUGUAGGCGGUUAGUUAAGUCUGGCGUGAAAGCUCUCGGCUAAACCGGGAGAGGUCGUUGGAUACUGGCUGGCUAGAGGACGGUAGAGGCGUGUGGAAUUCCGGGUGUAGUGGUGAAAUGCGUAGAGAUCCGGAGGAACACCAGUGGCGAAGGCGACACGCUGGGCCGUACCUGACGCUAAAGCGCGACAGCAUGGGGAGCAAACGGG